rnacentral:rRNA from 1 species
UAGCUAGUUGGUGAGGUAAAGGCUUACCAAGGCGACGAUCUGUAGCGGGUCUGAGAGGAUGAUCCGCCACACUGGAACUGAGACACGGUCCAGACUCCUACGGGAGGCAGCAGUGGGGAAUUUUGGACAAUGGGGGCAACCCUGAUCCAGCCAUGCCGCGUGAGUGAAGAAGGCCUUCGGGUUGUAAAGCUCUUUCGGCCGGGAAGAAAUCGCAUGGGCCAAUACCCUGUGUGGAUGACGGUACCGGAAUAAGAAGCACCGGCUAACUACGUGCCAGCAGCCGCGGUAAUACGUAGGGUGCGAGCGUUAAUCGGAAUUACUGGGCGUAAAGCGUGCGCAGGCGGUUUUGUAAGACAGGCGUGAAAUCCCCGGGCUUAACCUGGGAACUGCGUUUGUGACUGCAAGGCUAGAGUACGGCAGAGGGGGGUGGAAUUCCACGUGUAGCAGUGAAAUGCGUAGAGAUGUGGAGGAACACCAAUGGCGAAGGCAGCCCCCUGGGUCGAUACUGACGCUCAUGCACGAAAGCGUGGGUAGCAAACAGGAUUAGAUACCCUGGUAGUCCACGCCCUAAACUAUGUCAACUAGGUGUUGGGUGGGUAAAACCAUUUAGUACCGUAGCUAACGCGUGAAGUUGACCGCCUGGGGAGUACGGCCGCAAGGUUAAAACUCAAAGGAAUUGACGGGGACCCGCACAAGCGGUGGAUGAUGUGGAUUAAUUCGAUGCAACGCGAAAAACCUUACCUACCCUUGACAUGCCAGGAACUUGCCAGAGAUGGCUUGGUGCCCGAAAGGGAGCCUGGACACAGGUGCUGCAUGGCUGUCGUCAGGUCGUGUCGUGAGAUGUUGGGUUAAGUCCCGCAACGAGCGCAACCCUUGUCGUUAAUUGCCAUCAUUUAGUUGGGCACUUUAACGAGACUGCCGGUGACAAACCGGAGGAAGGUGGGGAUGACGUCAAGUCCUCAUGGCCCUUAUGGGUAGGGCUUCACACGUCAUACAAUGGUCGGUACAAAGGGUUGCCAAGCCGCGAGGCGGAGCCAAUCCCAGAAAGCCGAUCGUAGUCCGGAUUGCAGGCUGCAACUCGCCUGCAUGAAGUCGGAAUCGCUAGUAAUCGUGGAUCAGCAUGUCACGGUGAAUACGUUCCCGGGUCUUGUACACACCGCCCGUCACACCAUGGGAGCGGGUUCCGCCAGAAGUAGGUAGCCUAACCGCAAGGGGGGCGCUUACCACGGCGGGGUUCGUGACUGGGGUGAAGUCGGAACAAGGUAGCCGUAGGGGAACCUGCGGCUG